UACGGGGGGAGCAAGCGUUGUUCGGAUUUACUGGGCGUAAAGGGCGCGUAGGCGGUGCGGUAAGUCACUUGUGAAAUCUCUGAGCUUAACUCAGAACGGCCAAGUGAUACUGCAGUACUAGAGUGCAGAAGGGGCAAUCAGAAUUCUUGGUGUAGCGGUGAAAUGCGUAGAUAUCAAGAGGAAUACCUGAGGUGAAGACGGGUUGCUAGGCUGACACUGACGCUGAGGCGCGAAAGCCCAGGGGAGCAAACGGG
rnacentral:rRNA from 1 species